GGUCCCAUAGUGUAGUGGUUAUCACAUCAGAUUCUGAUUCUGGAGACCUGGGUUCGAUUCCCGGUGGGACCU
rnacentral:tRNA from 2 species